AAGAGCCCGACACCGGCCAGAGGAAAUGAAGGAUGGAGGGAACUGCAGCGAGGUGGAGUCAGCCGCGGCGGCUCGCGAGGUUCUGCUCAUCUCCGCCGGCGCCAGCCACUCCGUCGCACUUCUCUCUGGGGAUGUUGUUUGCUCUUGGGGCCGUGGUGAGGAUGGACAGUUGGGUCAUGGAGAUGCUGACGACCGACUUCUUCCAACUCUAAUGAGAGCAUUGGAUGGCCAGGGCAUAGUCUUUGUAACUUGUGGAGCUGAUCA
rnacentral:misc_RNA from 1 species